CCUACGGGAGGCAGCAGUGGGGAAUAUUGCACAAUGGGGGAAACCCUGAUGCAGCGACGCCGCGUGAGGGAUGAAGUAUCUCGGUAUGUAAAGCUCUAUCAGCAGGGAAGAAAAUGACGGUACCUGACUAAGAAGCACCGGCUAACUACGUGCCAGCAGCCGCGGUAACACGUAGGGGGCAAGCGUUAUCCGGAUUUACUGGGUGUUAAGGGAGCGUAGACGGUCGGGCAAGUCAGAUGUGAAAUCCAGGGGCUCAACCCCGGGACUGCAUUGGGAACUGUGUGGCUAGAGUGUCGGAGCGGUAGGCGGAAUUCCUAGUGUAGCGGUGAAAUGCGUAGAGAUUAGGCAGAACACCAGUGGCGAAGGCGGCUUGCUGGACGAUGACUGACGUUGAGGCUCGAAAGCGUGGGGAGCAAACAGGAUUAGAUACCCUUGUAGUC
rnacentral:rRNA from 1 species